rnacentral:tRNA from 1 species
GGAUUGUGGCUCAGUAGUAGAAUGCUCGCCUCGCACAUGCCAGGCCCUGGGUUCGAUCCUCAGCACCA